rnacentral:rRNA from 1 species
UACGUAGGGUCCGAGCGUUGUCCGGAGUACUGGGCGUAAAGCGCGCGCAGGCGGCGGUGCUGGCCCGGCGUGAAAGCCCCCGGCUCAACCGGGGAGGGUCGUCGGGGACCGCACCGCUUGAGGGCGGUAGGGGCUGGUGGAAUGCCUGGUGUAGUGGUGAAAUGCGUAGAGAUCAGGCGGAACACCCGUGGCGAAGGCGGCCAGCUGGGCCGUCCCUGACGCUGAGGCGCGAAGGCGUGGGGAGCGAACGGG